ensembl:lncRNA
CGAGACCAGGCUGCAGGCAUAACUGGACUGCAUUGUCAUUCUCAACCUAGAAUUGCAUCACAAUUCAUGAUAUCCUCCUCUCUCAACCACUCUAAACUUGGACAUAUUUAUAAACACAUUCCCAGUGAAAUAAAUGAGCCUGAGCUCUGGGAUACAACUUUUCGCAGAAGGACAGUAGGCUACCUUGCACGGAGCAGCUUAGUCCAGCCCUUUUCUUUUCCCAGUUUGCCGCAUUAGAAUCGAGUUCCUAGCAAGACCCAACAUUAUCUUGGGCCGCUCUGUAGUGUAUCCGGCUCUCCCCUGCACUCGCGUUUCAACAACAGCAGCAAACAGCCUCAAGCCUGUCUCUGAUUAUUGAAGCAACAGAAAUAGGGGUAAACGGAGAAAAAUGCGGUGAAGCAGAAAAAGAGAGACAACUGGAGUAUUUUAUCGGGCGGUACGUGGGGAUAUCAAGGUGUGUUACUCCCCGUCCACUCUGCGGCGGAUCCAAGAGAGAGCACCGGAGGGGAGAGCGAGGGGCGCUGGGACACAUAGUCACGUUGCUUCCACUCUGCACCUGCUGCAUCAUGGGUAACGUCGCUGGCAAGGACGACCAUGGCCCUACAGGUUCCCUACAUGAACGUACACACACACACUCUCUCUCAGUGUCACAUGUCAUUAUAUUAAACUCUGACAGUAACUCUGAUUAGAACCUUCUCUUCCUGUUUCCCAUGUUUCUACAAUAUUUCCUUUCAAGCUGUUUGUACUCCUACACAAUUUGUUCAUGAUCUUUUAUGCCUCCCCUUCUCGAUCUGUCUACCUGUGAUUCUCUAUUGUAGCAUUGCUGACUUCUUUUUCUGACACACACACACACACACACACACAUAUACACUUCCUCCCCUAAACACUUGUUUAAAACCCUG